GGAGUCAAAUAUGACUAGAUGUCAUGUGUAUGAGUGAGUAUAACAAAUAGAACUGCAACCAGAUUUUAAAAGCCUAAGUAUUGUAUCCUUGUUAGAAGAUACAAAGACAAUGACUCAUAAGGUCUUUGGCUACACCAUCAAAGCUUUGAGAAGCAAGAAGAAGCUUGGUUAGUGUUUUGGAGUCGAAUAUGACUUGAUGCGAUGUGUAUGAUUGAGUAUAAGAACUUAAACCGCAACCCGAGCUUAAAAUCCAAAGUAGUAUUUCCUUGUUAGAAGAUAGAAAGCCAAAGACACAUACGCACUUAAGCUACACCAUCAUAACUUUGAGAAGCAAGAAGAAGCUUGGUUAGUGUUUUGGAGUCAAUAUUACUAGAUGUCAUGUGUAUGAGUGAGUAUGAGAAAUAGAACCGCAACCGGAUCUUAAAAGCCUAAGUAUUGAGUAUUUGUUAGAAGAUACAAAGACAAAGACUCAUACGGACUUCGGCUACACCAUCAAAGCUUUGAGAAGUAAGAAGAAGUUUGGUUAGUGUUUCGGAGUCAAAUAUGACUUGAUGUCAUGUAUAUGACUGAUUAUAACAACUAGAACCGUAACCGGAUCUUAAAAGCGUAAGUAGGGUUUUCUUGUUA
rnacentral:sRNA from 1 species